GGGAGGAAAGACGCCGCGGAGCGCUCGGGCUGUGUGUGUGUGCACAGGGGGAGUGUAAAAUGCUGUAAUGGGAGGACGCCGCGCCGCUACGGAGUGCCCCGGACUGCAGCGGCCGUUCUGAGCGCGGUGGCACCUGAGCACACUCCUCCCGAAGCAAGUGCGACCUACACCUUCAGGCUCCAAGCAGGAAUGGAGACACCGUUGGAUGUUUUGUCAAGGGCAGCGUCUCUGGUUCAUGCUAAUGAUGAAAAACGUAAGUCAGGAAUCCACUUUAAGAGCUUUUUAUGGAUGCUCCUUGUCUCCUGCACCAUAAUAAAACCAUCUGCUUCUCUCCA